CUCUCCUUCCAUCUUUCUCCUCUCCAGCAAAUCCCUAGAUCUUUCACCCCUUCAAUGUCUUUUGCCGGCCUUCUUCUCGCUCCAAGAUCGCUUCUUGUUUGGGCUGAUUGGUAAAAAUCUCAUCACCUUACCUAAUUUCUCAUUUGACUGGGGCACAACCCCGAUUCUAAAGCUCUUGCGAAAUUAAAAGCUUCUCUUUCAAUCUCACAAAUUAGGAUUUUCCGUAACAAAAUCCCUCAUUAGUGUUUCCCUCCCAUUCUUCAAUUUUUCGAGCUCGAUAAAAUGCCUAGAAGAAGAUUACGAGAUCUAAGUAUUGUUCAAAAUACUCCAAAUUCGGAAGAAACAAAUAGUGAACAACAGACUGCUAUUGGAUCUUCGAAUGUUCCGAAUACACCUGACAAACUUGCAGAAAUUCAAAUGCUGGGACGCGCAGAGGUCGAGCACGUACGCUACUUAAAGAUUUAUAUGAAUUAAAUCCUGUCAAGCGUGUCAAAGUAUCUAAAAAUAAUCUUGCUCAGCCUGUUGGAUCAGAAGCUCGACUUUUAGUAGGAGAUUUGGACAUUAUAGCACGAAAUGCCAAUAUGUUGCCUCUCAACUACGAGUCAUGGCAUCAAAUGCCUGAUUGUAACAAAAAUAAAGCUCUCGAUAAUAUUAAGGAGAGGUUUGCAUUAGAGGUCUCGGAUAAUUAUGUCAAGAAGGCAUUGGGAAAAAUAUGAAGAGACUAUAAAAUUACUUUAAAGAAAUAAUAUUUUAAGACAAAAACAACUCUCGAAGAGAAAUUGUGAAAUGUCCCGCCUAGAAUGCUGAGGAUCAUGAACGAGUUGGAACAAGUAGCAGGCAAAAACAAAAAUUCACUCACACAGCUGGGUCGAAAAGUUUUGCUUGUGUAGCUGAGGCCGAGGAACUGUCGUCUGGUCAAAAAGUUGGACGCCUUCAGCUUUUUGACAUUACACAGGAAGAAAGAUGAAUUUCCUAUGACUUCUGAAGCUGUAGAAAUUAUGGAGAAACUAAAGGAUAAAAAGGCAGAGUAUGAAGUGGUUGCUUCGAGUGAUAGUUCUGUUAAUGUUGAUGACAUUGAUAACCGGAUUAUUACUGAAGUUUUGAGUCCUAAAAGGUAUGGUCGGGUUUGAUUUCAAGGAUCUUUUAUUAACCCAACCCAAUAUUUUGGAUCCAGCUCGUAGCAAUACAUGCCUUCGGGGAGUUAGGCUCAAGCUGAACUUCAAAGGUUAAGAGACCAGAUGGCUUAGAUGCAAGCGAGCACAAUUGAGAAAAUUGCUCAACUUAAAGCGGAGGCAGCAGCGAGGGAAGUAGAGUAGAGCAGAGCAGAAAGUACGAUGAACUCCAGCUACAGCUUUAGAAUGUGAUGAAGAUGCUUCAGUAGUCGCAAAAUCCGUCAUCUUAAACAUUUUUUUUCUUUUUGUAAGAAUAUUUUUAACAUUAUAACUUUUAACA